UGGGGAAUUUUGGACAAUGGGCGCAAGCCUGAUCCAGCCAUGCCGCGUGAGUGAAGAAGGCCUUCGGGUUGUAAAGCUCUUUCGGUGGGGAAGAAAUUGCUUCGAUUAAUACUCGGAGUAGAUGACGGUACCCGCAUAAGAAGCACCGGCUAACUACGUGCCAGCAGCCGCGGUAAUACGUAGGGUGCGAGCGUUAAUCGGAAUUACUGGGCGUAAAGCGUGCGCAGGCGGUUGUGUAAGUCAGAUGUGAAAUCCCCGGGCUCAACCUGGGAACUGCAUUUGAGACUGCACGGAUAGAGUGUAGCGGAGGGGGGUAGAAUUCCACGUGUAGCAGUGAAAUGCGUAGAGAUGUGGAGGAAUACCGAUGGCGAAGGCAGCCCCCUGGGUUACUACUGACGCUCAUGCACGAAAGCGUGGGGAGCAAACA
rnacentral:rRNA from 1 species